rnacentral:sRNA from 1 species
AAGAACCUUAGAACCGAGCAGUCGCCAUGCGAGCUCGCGCGUUCCCACCAGCAACCUCAAUUCGAUUCGGGUUCGGAAUCAAAAUCGGAAUAGUGAGUGCGCCAGUGUUGGGAAGUGGAAAGUAGAACGCGAACGCGAAUACGAAUACGAGAGGUCCUGAAGGAAAGUAAAGUGCAGAGCGUGGGGCAACUUCCGAGUGCGUUUGUGUGUGUGUGCAUCUGCGUAUGUGUCUGUCCAUGUCUGCGUGUGUUGCAGGCCAAAGAAAGUAAAAUACGAAAAUAGAAAUAGAAAUAGCGGUGAAGUAGUGCAGCACGCAGCACACGUGCGAUUACAUAAAGCCCACAAAUCAUCCCAACUAUCUCCGAACAUCCUGCUAGCCACACCGACAAACAAGCCAGCGAGCAAACAACAAUUAACCGCAAAUGUUUAAAGUUCAGACGCAUCGCAAAAUGUAAAGCAAUAAUCAGCUCAACAAAGCCAAAAAGCUCACAAUAGAAGCAGAGGAAGACGGCGCUGGAGGAGGCGGUGCUGGCGGGGCAGCUGAGGAGCCGGGGCGAUGCCAAAUGCCAUUAUUGGAAACUGUCGUAGUCAUAAGAUUUGCAUAGCAUAGCAAUAGGCAUCAUGAAAGGCCCAAGCGUGAUAAGCACCACAAAAAGAACAACAACAACAGAAAUAACAACAACAAAUAAAAAACUGUCUCAAGCAAUACCAAUACCAAUGCAAACUACAAU